rnacentral:rRNA from 1 species
UACGUAGGUGGCAAGCGUUGUCCGGAUUUACUGGGCGUAAAGAGCGCGCAGGCGGUCGUUUCAAGUCGCGUGUGAAAGCCCUCAGCUCAACUGAGGAAGUGCGCCCGAAACUGCAGAGCUUGAGUGCCGGAGAGGGUGGCGGAAUUCCCCAAGUAGAGGUGAAAUGCGCAGAUAUCGGGAAGAACACCCGUGGCGAAGGCGGCUCUCUGGGACGGUACUGACGCUGAGACGCGAAAGCGUGGGGAGCGAACAGGA